UGGGGAAUAUUGCACAAUGGCGGGAACUCUGAUGCAGCGACGCCGCGUGAACGAAGAAGGCUUUCGAGUCGUAAAGUUCUUUUAUAUGGGAAGAUAAUGACGGUACCAUAAGAAAAAGCCCUGGCUAACUACGUGCCAGCAGCCGCGGUAAUACGUAGGGGGCUAGCGUUGUCCGGAAUCACUGGGCGUAAAGGGUUCGCAGGCGGAAAUGCAAGUCAGGUGUAAAAGGCAGUAGCUUAACUACUGUAAGCAUUUGAAACUGCAUAUCUUGAGAGGAGUAGAAGUAAGUGGAAUUUUUAGUGUAGCGGUGAAAUGCGUAAAUAUUAAAAAGAAUACCGGUGGCGAAGGCGACUUACUGGGCUCAUUCUGACGCUGAGGAACUGAAACGUGGGUAGCAAACAGG
rnacentral:rRNA from 1 species